GACGAACGCUGGCGGCGUGCUUAACACAUGCAAGUCGAACGGUGAUGCUCCAGCUUGCUGGGGUGGAUCAGUGGCGAACGGGUGAGUAACACGUGAGCAACCUGCCCUAGACUCUGGAAUAAGCGCUGGAAACGGCGUCUAAUACUGGAUACGAAACUGGCCCGCAUGGGCAUGGUUUGGAAAGUUUUUCGGUUUGGGAUGGGCUCGCGGCCUAUCAGCUUGUUGGUGGGGUAAUGGCUCACCAAGGCGACGACGGGUAGCCGGCCUGAGAGGGCGACCGGCCACACUGGGACUGAGACACGGCCCAGACUCCUACGGGAGGCAGCAGUGGGGAAUAUUGCACAAUGGGCGAAAGCCUGAUGCAGCGACGCCGCGUGAGGGAUGACGGCCUUCGGGUUGUAAACCGCUUUCAGCAGGGAAGAAGCGAAAGUGACGGUACCUGCAGAAGAAGCACCGGCUAACUACGUG
rnacentral:rRNA from 1 species